AAGAGGCCAGAGGGGCUCUUGUGCAAAAGCUCCACCCUCUCGCGCUAGGGUUUAAGGUUCUGAGUCGGGAGGCGCCGCCGGCGACGACGACGGGGAGCUGAGAUGGCGGACGCGGCCGUGAGGUGCCUCCGGGACGGCCGCCUCGACGGCGAGCACGCGCCAGCGCUGGCCGUGGAGGGCUCCCUCCAGUGCUGCCCCCUCGCGGCGCGCGCCAUGCUCCACGUCGCCGCCGCCGUCGCCUCCAACGCGGCCGCGGGGAAGGCGCAGGCCAGGGGACUUGUGGUUGUGGCGUUUGACCGGAGCCCGGAAGUUUACCUGGAUGCCAUGCUUCGGCACGGCCUUGAUUCGAAUGCACUGAGUCGAUGUGUUCGGAUAUUGGAUUGCUACUCAGACCCACUCGGGUGGAAGAAAAAUAUCCGAAGUCAGCAGCAUCAUGAGGACAGUGGAACACCGUGCUCAUCAAACAAAGGCAACAUCACAAUUUUCAGAAGCGUGAAGGAUGUUGAUAAGUUAUCGUGCUCCAUAAUUGAUCUUGGAAGAGGGUUUGAAGGAGAAGGCAAGACCUAUUUUUCUGUUGCUCUCGAUUCAAUUAGCUCUAUGUUAAGGCAUGCUUCAGUGCAAUCAAUUUCAGGCCUUCUUAGUAAUCUUCGGAGCCAUGAUCAGAUAUCAUCAAUCUUCUGGCUAAUGCAUUCAGAUCUCCAUGAAACCAAGUUUUCCCGAGCUUUUGAAUGCCUUUCUACCAUGGUUGCUUGUGUAGAGCCAGAAGUUGUAGAUUCUGUAUAUGGAGAAGAACGUAGGGGGGACAUGUCUUUCCUUGAGCAUAACUAUUCGAAAGCAAAGUUCCAUGUGCGCCUGAAACGAAGGAAUGGACGGGUGAAGCAUCUGCAUGAGGAGUUAUGUGUUGAGGGAUAUGAUGUAAAAUUUGUUUCUGCUACUUCUGUAAGUAUGGAAGUGAACCAAAGUCUACUACCUAAGGUUCAGUUCAAUCUUGAGCUGUCAGAAAAGGAACGGAGUGACAGGGCAAAUGUUGUUCUUCCUUUCGAACAUCAAGGAAAGGGCGAGCCAAUCCGUAUAUAUGAUGGACGGCGAUCUCUCCCGGAGGCUCGUCAAGAUCUCAAUUUUACUACGGCAGCUCUCCUGGAUGAAACAGAAGCUCUUAAAUCUGCAGACACGAAGGGUGAAAUUCAUUACCUUCGUGAUUCUGAUGAUGAGCGACCUGACUCGGAUGAAGACCCCGAUGAUGAUUUGGAUAUUUAGCCACAAUGUGAGCUCUGUUUAUCCUAGUGGUCAGCUAUCAAGUCAAAGGUAACACUUACUGAGAACUGCCGACUUCUGUUAUUAGUCUUCUCCAUUCGUUAUUCCUUAUGCCGAUCACAAAUGUUUAGUGUUCACGGUGCUAGACUGAGGGAGUAUGUCUUCUGUUGUUGGUUACAUAGAGGCUACUUUUUCUCACAAAAGAGAACUCCCUGUUCUAUCAAAAGAAUAUUACCCACACUCCCAAUGGCGGAGUGUAUUGGAGACCAAACCAGGCCAUGGCUAGUCCUUAUCGUUGUAUUUCAUCUUAGGAGUUGGUACUAUUUGGCCCAAGAACCACUGAUGCCCACUGAGGAAGCAGUUGACACCUUCAAUUUGUUUCAUGCUCCGCCACUGCGCACUCUUACAGUCUUACUGUUUUGAAUUGUGAGUAAAAGUGUGCAUCUAGUUCCUUCUCUAAAAGAGAAACACCAAAAAAAAAGAGAAACACCAAAAUGUAUUUAAACUAAUACAAAUUAACAUCUGACAACUGAUAUGUUCAAAUGACAUAGUAAAAUUAAUUUGGACACAUACUGACUUGAUUAUAUUCCAAAGACCAGUUUGCACCCACUGAAUCGAUUACAACUCAAUUGAUUCUACACACAGCAAAUCAUGUAUGCCUCCCAAAAAUUUCCUUGUCACCAAGCAACAUAAGCAAUACCAAGCCCCCAAUCCAAAAUAUAUUACUGAUUACUGAACAAGGCCGUCUUACUAUAACAUCCGACCGACCUGUAUUCAAAAUAAGAAGCGUGCUCUGGUAGUUCCUCCAUGAAAGCUGGGAGAUUUUCGCGUGGCAGCCAUCUAACAUGCCCCAAAUUCUAGUGGGACUCGCUUAACACACCCUAAAUAUCCAACCUGGAUUCCGACCAGUAAAGCAACCUUGAGCCGAUUUUCUGAGCCGAAGAGGCGUGCGAUGGGUGAGGAGAUUUCUAAGUUGCCCGAGGCCGGCUUCAUCAGAGAAGUCAACCACCCGGUCUGGCUGGCCAACCCAGUUAUGGUCCCCAAGAAGAAUAAAACAUGGCGCAUGUCUAUUGAUUACAUAGAUCUCAAUAAAGCAUGCCUCAAAGAUUCUUUUUCGCUCCCUCACAUCGAUCAGGUGAUCAAUUCGAAAGCAGGCUCCGAGUGUCUCUUUUCUGGAUGAGUACUUCGGGCACCAUGCUAUCUGCAUGAGGGAAUCCGACCAACCAGCGACUUCCUUUAUCACGUACGGAGUUUUCAUGUCGGCUCGGACGAAAGUUGUGCCGUUACUUCUAGGCAAAUCCGAUAACAGUGGUGAACCAUGUGCUCUGUCCAAUAUCAUCAAUAACAGUGACACGACUGGUCGGGUGGCGAAGUGGGCAACAUAGUUCCUUCCUUUCAAGGUAAAAUACCAGCCCAGUCAGGCCAUCAAGUCGUAGGUGCUCGUCGACUUCGUGAUCGAGUGGACAGAAGCCCAACAGGCAGCCCCUAGUUAAAUCGAUUAUCAGCAUUCGACAUGUACCUCGAUGAAUCCAAAAUGCUCCCCGACCUGUGUAGUAGCAAAACUCCUCCAAGAAAGAUUCUCUUCAACACUUUGAUGAUCGAUGACAUCCUCCACUGAAUUCACAUCCCUAGGGAAAUCGAUUACCAGCACUGGGCAUGUACUUCGAUGAAUCCAAAAUGCUCCCCGGCCUGUGUUAGUAGCAAAACUCCUCCAAGAAAGAUUCUCUUCAACACUUUGAUGAUCGAUGACAUCCUCUACUGAGAAUUCACAUCUCUGGUGUUUUAGAGUAGUAUCAAAGCUCCUCCAAGGAGCGAGUUUAACAAUUAUGCAUCCCGCGACAAACUUGUUUGGUAACUCACACUUAAGGAAUUUGAUUUCUUUAACGAUGCACUGUAUCUCAUGAGCCUAGUCUAACACACGACGAUUCUCAACCAUCAUGUAGUCAUGGAACUGCUUCAUGGCAUAUAUGUUGCCUCCAGCAUCAGUUACGCCGAACUUAGUUUCUAGCGCAUCUCGCAUGUUCUUGGUAACCAGGUCCGGUUCAGGAAUAAUCGCUCCUUCAGGAGCACUACCAACGCUUAAAAUGCGUACCGUAAACGGGUUUUGUUUUAGUGUUGUAGCAAAGCCAUGAAUCGCAAAUUGCCUACAAACCUUAGGUUUUUGGAUUGAUGGAAAAAUUAGCAAUUUCCCCGUUGAAUUAAUCCAGAAAUAAAUCAUGAUAAUAACUUGUGCAGUAUUAAUUUUGUACUUAUUUUUAACCAUGUAAGCAUGUUCUAAUCAUACAACGGAUACAUCUAUGUAAAUAGCAAAUACGACCAACAUAGGAAUCAACAGGAAAGGGAUGAACGGAUUAUACUCUCCAGUUGGCUAGGUCAAAAGCCACAACGGUGGCAACAACAUCCUCGGUAGCCUUCUUUGCGGUUUUAGAGUUCUCACCCAUGUCGAAGUCGGAGAGGUUGAGGAUGUAGUCGAAGUAUAGGACGAAGACGAACAACAUCGAGUAGUCACGUCGAAGACGCUCCCCAAAAACCUAAUCGCCCUUCUUUUGGUGCAGGAUCGCAAAAGACGGGGUUCUGGAGACCUGCUCUCCCGUACAGCCAUGCAUGUAGUUGACGGGAUAGGAUCGCCGGAAGCAACGGUAGCGAGCGAAACAACGGCGGGUUGUGCGCGAGGAGGUAGAGCAGAUGCGAUUUGAUAUGGGUCACGGCUAGGGUCGCCGAUGCCUCCAAUAUAUAGGCGGACGUGGUAGGGAGACUUGGGGUUGGACCAACGCCCGGGUCGGCAGCAUCCCAUGAUGUGAUAUCUCGGAUUUGUAGCGCAUCGUUAGUGACUCGUAAUUAAUUUCCCAUUAAUUAUCUGUUCCCAAUUGGCUAAAAUUAAGUGCACGCAUGACAUAGGUCUGAGCUCGGCUUGGCUCGCUCACGAAAAACAACGCGCGCUGGGGCGAGACAUGGCAUGACGAGGGGGGCGGAGGAGGAGCGCAUUGGAACCAUUGGUCUUCUCAAGCUUCAAUGGACAUGCUAUUGAAGGUUAAGAAGAGAAGUGGUUCCAGCGCGCUUUUUCGCCGCCACCUGCCAUGCCACGUCUCGCGAGCGUGUCGUGUUUCAUGAACGAGCUGAGCCGAGCUCGGACCUAUGUCAUGUGUGCGCUUAAUUUUUGCCGGUCAGGAAAGAAUAAUUAAUUACGAGUCAUUAUCGGACACGCUAUGAAUCCGAGACUUUGCAUCGUGGGUUGUUGCCGACUUGGGUGUGGGUCCAACCCCAUAGUCUGCCUACCAUGACUGCCUAUAUAUUGGAGGCGUCAGCAACCCUAGUCGUCACCCAGACCGCAUAUGCUCUACCUCCUCGUGCACAACCCACUGUCGUUCCACUCCUACGGCUGCUUUCGCUGAUCUCACCCCGUCAACUGCGUGCACAGUUGUACGGGACAACAUGCCUCCGAAACCCCGUCCUUUGCAAUCUUGUACCCGGAGAAGGGACAGUUAGGUUUUUGGGGAGCGUCUCAAACUCGAUUGCUCGGCGUUACUCGUCUUUGUCCUCUACUACAUCCUCGACUUCCACAUGUGUGAGAGCUCCGAAGCCAGAAAGAAGAAGGCUACCGAGCAUGUUGCCGCGAGUUUGACCUGGUCAACUGGAGGAUCCUCUUGAACGACUCCAACCAACAACGUGGUCAAAUACGAGACUCUCAUUCAUGGUUUGCGUUUGGCCAUCUCCAUGGGCAUUCACAAGAGAUCCUCUUCAACGACUCCAACCAACAACGUGGUCAAAUACGAGACUCUCAUUCAUGGUUUGCGUUUGGCCAUCUCCAUGGGCAUUCACAAGAGGAACAUCAGGCGCUUGCGAAAAUUCUAGGAGGCGUUCACUUUGCGUGGGCGGCUGGAGCUACUGCAUAGUUAUGGUUGAACAAUUUAAGCACCUGUAUUAUGUAUAGCUUCGUGAGCAUUGGAAGGCAACCUUUGCAAAUCACUGGGUUUGAAAUUUCUUGGAUGCUCAAGACUAAUGUGUUGAUGGUAGCAUAUCGAAUGAAAGGUCAUAUGCCCCAAUGCGAUUUUGUAGUUUUGUUUCGACGUGGAUGAAUGUUGGCUAGUGUGUCAGUCGCUGAAAUGGGUCCAGAACAAGAGGAUGCGACAUGUAACACUGUUUUUUCAGUUAUAUGAGAAUAUACACCGGGCUAUUUGUUUGCUGGAUGCUUA